rnacentral:rRNA from 1 species
UGGGGAAUAUUGCACAAUGGGCGCAAGCCUGAUGCAGCCAUGCCGCGUGUGUGAAGAAGGCCUUCGGUUGCAAAGCACUUUCAGCGGGGAGGAAGGCGAUAAGGUUAAUAACCUCAUCGAUUGACGUUACCCGCAGAAGAAGCACCGGCUAACUCCGUGCCAGCAGCCGCGGCAAUACGGAGGGUGCAAGCGGUAAUCGGAAUUACUGGGCGUAAAGCGCACGCAGGCGGUCUGUCAAGUCGGAUGUGAAUUCCCCGGGCUCAACCUGGGAACUGCAUUCGAAACUGGCAGGCUAGAAUCUUGUAGAGGGGGGUAGAAUUCCUGGUGUAGCGGUGAACUGCGUAGGGAUCUGGAGGAAUACCGGUGGCGAAGGCGGCCCCCUGGACAAAGACUAACGCUCAGGUGCCAACGCGGGAGGAGCAAACAGG